AUUGAACGCUGGCGGCAGGCCUAACACAUGCGAGUCGAGCGGAUGAAGGGAGCUUGCUCCUGGAUUCAGCGGCGGACGGGUGAGUAAUGCCUAGGAAUCUGCCUGGUAGUGGGGGAUAACGUCCGGAAACGGGCGCUAAUACCGCAUACGUCCUGAGGGAGAAAGUGGGGGAUCUUCGGACCCCACGCUAUCAGAUGAGCCUAGGUCGGAUUAGCUAGUUGGUGGGGUAAAGGCCUACCAAGGCGACGAUCCGUAACUGGUCUGAGAGGAUGAUCAGUCACACUGGAACUGAGACACGGUCCAGACUCCUACGGGAGGCAGCAGUGGGGAAUAUUGGACAAUGGGCGAAAGCCUGAUCCAGCCAUGCCGCGUGUGUGAAGAAGGUCUUCGGAUUGUAAAGCACUUUAAGUUGGGAGGAAGGGCGGUAAGUUAAUACCUUGCUGUUUUGACGUUACCAACAGAAUAAGCACCGGCUAACUUCGUG
rnacentral:rRNA from 1 species